rnacentral:misc_RNA from 1 species
CUUAAAUUUAAUUAUCGAAAACGAAUUACAUGGUCUUACUUAUAAUUUGUAAAAUUCAAUGUGAUUUCUUGUUUUAAUUUUAAAUGAUAUUUUUUAAUACGUUUUAAUAUUUCUUGCUUUAUUUUAGAUUUUUAAUCCCUUCCAGAGUUGUUUUUUCUCAACUUCAUCACGUUGAUCACGCGCUCGAUAUAGUUUCGCAACUUUUCGUUAUUCUUAAUUGUAAAUUCAUCGUGACAGAAUUUGUUGAUAUUAAUUUAAAACCAGAAACUUUUAUUAUGAUAUUUUAUUUUCACGUUGAAGUCUUGACGUACGUUGUGACUUUUUGGAGAGACUUUUUUCUUCCAUCCGAACUGACAGAUACAGUUGAAAUAAUUGAUAUCGGUUAAAUGACAUAGACAGAUCUGUCUGUAUCGAUUGGAAACUUUGGUAUUUAGCUCAGUCAAUUUUAAGAAAUAAAUUCUUUUGGAUUUUAAUUAUUAAAACGGAACGCAAAGUUUCAUUUCUUCAUUUCAUCCAGCGUUAUCGAUAUUCGUAAAUCUUCAGCAAUAAUUUUUUACGUGAAUAUAUUUCAAUUAUCCCUUGUCCUUUGUUAAUGAAAAUAGUUCAUUUCUUUACGAAUUUUCUCUACAAUUAUGCAACGUUAAAUCUUUCAUAUGUCACCGUCAUAUUUAAUCACUACUUAAUUAUAGACGCUAUUUAAUUUCAAAGUUCGAUAAUAUUUUAAAAUCGCCAUGUCAAUAUCACGACAGCACACACUGGUAAUUCGUUCUAGAAAAUAGUUCGACUUCACGUACAUUUCAUGAAACUGUCACGCAAACCACAUUUACUCAUAAACAUGCGACUAAAUUUAAAGAAAGAAAAAAACUAAUAAUUUUCCACGAACUAUACAAGCUACGAUCUAUUGGAAUUUCAAUGUUACAUUUCCUGCGUUUUAAUGGACUGAAUCAUAAUUUCAUACUACAGAAGCGGAACUCGUAAUUACGAUACGAGCGC